rnacentral:rRNA from 1 species
GAUGAACGCUGGCGGCGUGCCUAAUACAUGCAAGUCGAACGAGAUCUUCGGGUCUAGUGGCGCACGGGAGCGUAACGCGUGGGAAUCUGCCCUUUGGUUCGGAAUAACAGUUGGAAACGACUGCUAAUACCGGAUGAUGACGAAAGUCCAAAGAUUUAUCGCCAGAGGAUGAGCCCGCGUAGGAUUAGCUAGUUGGGGUGGUAAAGGCGCACCAAGGCGACGAUCCUUAGCUGGUCUGAGAGGAUGAUCAGCCACACUGGGACUGAGACACGGCCCAGACUCCUACGGGAGGCAGCAGUGGGGAAUAUUGGACAAUGGGCGAAAGCCUGAUCCAGCAAUGCCGCGUGAGUGAUGAAGGCCUUAGGGUUGUAAAGCUCUUUUACCCGGGAUGAUAGUGACAGUACCGGGAGAAUAAGCUCCGGCUAACUCCGUGCCAGCCGCCGCCGUAA